UACAGAGGGUGCGAGCGUUAAUCGGAAUUACUGGGCGUAAAGCGUGCGUAGACGGUUACAUAAGUCGGGUGUGAAAGCCCCGGGCUCAACCUGGGAAUUGCAUUCGAGACUGCGUAGCUAGGGUGCGGAAGAGGGAAGCGGAAUUUCCGGUGUAGCGGUGAAAUGCGUAGAUAUCGGAAGGAACACCGGUGGCGAAGGCGGUUCUCUGGGCCUGUUCUGACGCUGAGGAGCGAAAGCAUGGGGAGCGAACAGG
rnacentral:rRNA from 1 species